rnacentral:lncRNA from 1 species
CUCAGGCCUGGACCAUCACUGUUGCCCAUCCCAUGCCAUCAACAGGUUUGCCCCAUCCCUUCGGCUCCCUACCAGGGCAUUCAGUUGUGUUGAGCAGCAGAGUGUCUCCAAGUCCCCACUGGUUGAGCUGCAUCCGGGUCCCAUCCCACAGGGACCCCCUGGCCGCUGCAGAUGCAUGCUGAUCCUGCAGCUCCUCGAGGGUGUCAUCGCUUUCCCCCUUCCCAGACCCAGCACACCCUGCCUGCAUGGCGCUGCGCUGCACCUUCACUCUGGUCACGGGUCUGGCAGUCAGCUCACCAAUUCCUCCUGCUUCCCUGGGACUUGCCGGCUUUUAGCACUGCAAUUCACUCAGCAAACUGGGACUGUUGGUCACCCUACCUGGCAGCCAGUGAUAAGGUGAGGGCCACUCCUGGGAGGGAGGACACCUGUGGGGAAAAUUCUUGUGUUAUUUAUUUCUCCUUCGGGAUAGGGUGCCUGCAGCGCUUCAUGGGAGGGGGUGGGCUGAUGCUGCGGGCUCAGAAGUUUCAAGGGCAUCUGGGGAGACCAGAUAUUCAGAGACCUUCUAGAUGUGCCUGUUCCAUGUAUCAGGGACGCAGGUUUUCCCAACAGGGCUGGUGUCAUUGGCAUGACAGACCUGCCUUGGCUGAGCGUUCACCUGUCUUUGGAGUUCAGCCACCUUAGCAAGUCCUGGGUUUGUUCUUCAGACUUUGCUGCUCGCCCAUUGCCUGGAUCGGGGGCUACUUUGUAAACCACCAGGAAGACUCCAGUGUUUCUGGUUAAUUUUUAGAUGUUUGUUAAUUGCUCUUGGUCUCUCAUUAAUCCCCUGUGGGUCAUCCAGGAAACAUACUCACCACUGUCUGUUCUCUGAGUUUUCAUUUCCAGGCAUCCGCCCUGCCUGGAUCUCCUCACCUGCCAGGAACUUCCUCUCCACAAGCCGGCCAUCCCAGCAAAAGUUCUAACACCAAAGGUCUGGCAACUAGCCUGCCAUCUUGUGCCUGGAGCCGCCUGCGUGCCACCUACUCCCGAAGAUGGGAACCUUGUUGCCAGUUGGGCAGAUGCGGGGCAAUCCUGUACCAAGACCCCAUUUUACCACCUGCUUUCUCAGACCACUCUGGAACCCACUGUCUCAGAUUGUGUCCUCCAGGAAGCAGACCAUGAGAGGGAGUUGGCAGGGCCAAAGAUUUACUGGGGCUAACUAACACUCAGGAAAGGGAUAGGAAGGAAACAGGGCUGGAGAGCAGGUUGAGCCCGACCUGACAGUCUCGAGCAGCCCAACAGGGAGGUGUGGAGCAAGGGUUGCCCACUAGAGGGGCCUGCAUUGGGUACGGGUGAUGGGGUCCACAUGGUACCUGGCAUAUAGCAGGCUGUGCAAUCCAUAUUAACUGACUGGAUAAAUUAAUGCCCAGAAAAGGUGCCCUGGAGAAUGGGUGUGUGCUGAACACAAUAGGGAAGGGCCCAGCAUCUGCCUUGGCAUAGGCAGAACUGUGCUGUGCCCUGCAACAGGCCACCUGAGAGCUGCUUUGAUCUUGUGUGUACAUUAGAUGACUGCCAGGGGCAUGAAGGGGAUGUGCUUCCAGGGCAUUUGCUGGCAGGGCGUCUCGUGAUCUCUUGGUAUUGGUGUGAGCACAGCCUGGCAGGAGAGGGCAGAUCUCCAUGCAAAGUAUGUCAGAAAGCAGAUGGAAGCCAGGCCCCCUCCUGAAAGAGGCUCCUUGAAGGCUCCUGGGACCACAUUAUCAUUCUCUUCACUCGAGAGAUGAGGACACUGAAAUUCAGAGAGGGGAAGUGAUUUGCCUCAGCUUGUACUGGUUUCACUUUGUCACUCAGGCUGGAGUGCAGUGAUGUGAUCAUAGCUUUCUGCAGCCUUGACUUCCGGGCUCAAGUGAUCCUCCCACCUCCGCCUCCUUAGUAGCUAGGACCACAGGCAUGCACCAGCACACCCAGCAAAUUAAAAAAAAAUUUUUUUUAAAGAUGAGAUCUCACUAUGUUGCCCAGGCUGGUCUGAAAUUCCUGUCCUCAAGCAAUCCUCCUGCCUUAGCCUCCCAAAGUGCUGAGAUUACAGGCAUGAGCUACCAUGCCUGGCCUAAAACAUUUUUAAUGGAAGUAUAAUUUGCAAACAGAAAACAUGCCCAAAUAUUAAGUGAAUGCACUGAUGAACAUUCACAACUUAACAAGAUAGCCAGCACUUAAAUCACAAAAUAGAACACCGCUAGGACCUCUUUGUAAUACCCUCCAAGUCACUACUUCUGCCCAAAGGUAAUCGCUAUUUUGCAACAUUUUUUAUUACUUUAUAUAAAUGAGAUCGUACACUGCGUAAUCUUAUUACUGUCUGGAUUUUUAUAUUAAAUAUUGCUUGUGAGAUUCAUCCAUGUUGUCAUGUCAGCAAUACUUUAUUCUCAUUGCCAUAUACUAUUCCAUUUUUAUCAGUAUACCAUGAUAUAUUUACCCAUUCUGCUAUUUGUACAUACUGGAAUUGUUCCCAGGUUUUUGUAAUACAAGCAAAGCUGCUAUG